GGAGCUUCACCCUCUGAGCAGCGCUGCUUAUUUAGGGCAGACCGGACAGUGGAUGCUCCAGUGACACACAAGGUAGCUGGUUAGCAUGCUAACUUCUAAAGGAAGAAAAGUGAUCGAAAUAAAAGCAAAAUGAGAGUUAACAUUGGUGUUGCUUUCCAUCUCUGGAGACAGCUCUUGAUGGGUAAAGCAAUGAAGUUUGAUGCUGAACUCGCAGUGUUUCCUCUAGACUGAAAUUCUGGAUCAGGCCUCAGGCACCACCCACCACCGCUGCUUGCAAGGUUGGCCGAUGAAAGUGUGUAUCAAGAUGGUUAGCAUUAGAGAAAACAUCGGAGAGACUCAGCCACAUGUUUGAGCCUCAGUCAGACUCAGACUCGGAUGAGGAGAAAAUUGGUGAUUAGCAGGCAGAACAUCAUCAGAACAAUAUCAAGGGUACAGACUGGGCUGUUUAGGAGAGCUGGAGCGUCCACAGGGUCAGGCUGAUUGAUAGCUUCGACACCCAAAGGUCAGCACUGCUAGGGUUCCCCUGCCUGUGACGCAGCCCGAAGGCCUCGGCAUCCACCACUGUUUGAAUUUUCACCUCUUUCCUGGAGACAUUUAGCAUUUUUUCUUCUUGAGGACAUUUUUCAGGACAUAGUGUUGCUGUCUGCUCUCCUUGGAGGCCGGCUCGCCCACCUCAGCUGUUGCCGGUAUUGAUGACAGAGUGAAUAAGAAGUGAGAGAAUUAAAGGCAGAUGAAGGAUAAGGAGUUUAUCUGGAUUAAGAUGAAUGAGUGGCCGGGCCUAGCAGCAUUGUCUGCUCUCUAAGCUUUUGUUUCUGGUACAGAACUUAAAACGAAGAUAUUUCAUGAGCAAUGCCCACUGCCAUUACCAAAGUCAUCCCUAAAGAGCAAGUUUGCGGAACAAAAUUUGUAAUCGAUGUUUUCAAGUGGCUUAUAAAGGCUUACUUUUUCUUUUAAAGAAGCAAUUAGCGUCUAGGUUAUUGAUCGAUCAGUAGCCUCGGCAUGCGUAGCGUAAGGUAGAUGCCCAUGGGGUGGCAGGAGCCUCUCCAGAGGAGCCCCAUUCUUUGUUUGUCCGAGCACUUCUGUGGGCAGCUCGACAGCUCAUUUGCUCCCUAAUAGAGAUGAACUGGUGGGGACAGUCGGAGGGAAGGGUAGAUGCUGCUUCCUCCAGGCGGGAGGGGAGCGCAAGGAGGAGGGAUAGGGCUGCAGGUUUCCUACCAUCCCUGCUGUAAUUAAUUACAUUGAUCACAACAUGUCACAGCACCUUACAGUACUGUAUAAAACUGCUGCCUUGGUAGAGUAACCAUGUCUGCCUUCAAAUGAAGACAUAUUCACUGGCAGGAAUGAAGGAAACUGUCCAAACUCUUCCAUCGCUACUUAUGUCAAAUAUCUGUGUGGUUAAAUGUCAUGGUUCUGUGUAAACAUGUAUCAAGCAGCUGUGGAUAAAAAGAACACAUUAAUAUUAUGUAGUGCCAUUGGUACUAAUUAUUUUCAACAGAAAUGUGAUGAGCUUUCACACACCAAUGUCAUAGCUGAUUAUAGAAGCAGGCCUGAAGGAGGUCUGUGUGGAUCAGGAUAAAAGCUGAUAGAUGAUAGCAACCUGUCACAAGGGGGCUCUUUUUUCGUGCUCUCAUUACCAUUUAGCUCAGGCUGAUACCUCAUUGUAUAAUCUGACUGUAAGGGAGCAAAAAGCAGAGGAUUGCCUGGAUUGUGUAUAAAUGGGAACUGUAAUUAGACCACGACUGCAUCCCUUCAUCUCAGACGGGUAAACAUCCAGCCACACAGAGGGAUGAACAAAUGAAGGUAUUGUUGGAAGACACUGUCUGCUACAAUGAAAGUGCUACUGCUUGUAUCACACAUUCAGUAUUAAAAGAGGCUGCUCUAAUAAUGAAAAUAAAAGUUUCUAGG